UUGGUGGUAAUACUGUUCGAUGGUGACUUGUUUGUUAUCUUUAAAUUGCACCGAGUUGUGUUUUUUUUUCGACUUAAUUAUUUUGUUCGAUGUGGACUCUAGACCCACGUGUUGCAGGCCUUAAAAUCUUUUUUUUUUUUUAUAGAACAUUCUUAUCUGCUUGAUGUUUUUUUUUUAAUCAAACAGAAAUACUUACGCAACUUGAUUGUAAGUCAGCACUACCGUUAAUUAUUGUAAGCCCACGUGGUUCUGGAAAUGCUAGUUAUAGCCUAGCAAAAUUUUCGUCAUACAAGUGAACACGAGGUUAUGUUGGUAGGGACAUCUGAAAUACUGAUGAGUGCCAACUUUUCUGACAUGUUCGACAACGUAUUUUCCAUGCAGUAUAGUGUUACUUUCAGCUCAUGAUGAGGGUUCUUUUUUUUUCUAGGUCAGGUGUUGGAGAUUUAAGAGAUGUAGGACAACAGGGGUUUGGGAAUGAAGCUUGGAGCGACGUCUGACAAGAUAGCCGUGUGCAAUGUGGCUGAACUGAAAGAAGCAAGCAUGGGAUGCAUGAAAACACUAUCAGCGGCACAUGAAUCUUGUGAAGCUGACAUGUCUGUGGGGAAGCACCGGCCCUUUUGACUUUAGCACUUCUGGGGCUGAUGACAGGCCAUUUUCUGAGGGGGACAACUGGGAGCUUUAGUCACAGGCUCCAUGGUGAUCCCAUAAGGUCCUUUUGUGUGACUAGACUUCAUCCCUUCCGAUUACCAUAAUGUGUACUUGUUGACUGGUACAACACAAGAUCUGGGCUGAUGCCUUAAAGGUGAAUCUGACAGGGUUGUUUUGCAGAUGUGUCCAUGCUCCCCAGUUUGGUUCUGUAACUGUCUGACCUGUCCACUUAAUGUGGACCAUCUUUAACUGAACCUGGGUUGGGCCAAGUGUGUUCUGUGACCAACUAAAAUCUGUGUUUCAGGCAUCUCUGGCUUUUGUCAUAAGGAUACGUCUUGAAGAGCUAAGAAUGUUUCAUCCACCUUCUGACUGCACAUCAACAUACUGAUCAAAAGAUCUGGAUUUCAACCAUCCUUUGCUGUCUGAUGAGGUCAUCCCCUCAAGUGUUCAAGGGGCUUUUGUCUACCCCACUCAUUGCAUUAAGGCGUAGUCCAUUGAAAAGUAAUUUACUCGCCCAUUAUGCCAUCCCAGAUGUGUAUGACUUGAAAAUUUUUAGAGCCGUAUAACGGCUCUGUAGGUCUAUUCCAUGCAAGUGAAUUCUAAGAGUCCGAGUGCAAGUAAAUUACUUCAUUUUUGGGUGAACAAUCCCUUCCACGUUAUGUUCUGUCAAGUCUAUGAAUCAUGUUACUUCAAUAAAAGUUGUUCAUUAUUGAA